rnacentral:rRNA from 1 species
UGGAUAUCUGCCUUUUGGUUCGGGAUAACCCUGGGAAACUAGGGCUAAUACCGAAUGGUUCCUACGGGAUAAAGAUUUAUCGCCAAAAGAUGAGUCCGCAUCCGAUUAGCUAGUUGGUGGGGUAAUGGCUCACCAAGGCGACGAUCGGUAGCUGGUCUGAGAGGACGAUCAGCCACACUGGGACUGAGACACGGCCCAGACUCCUACGGGAGGCAG